rfam:Ornithorhynchus anatinus chromosome 4, whole genome shotgun sequence.
CCCAGCUCAGGGUUGCACCUGGAGAGUUUCCAGUCCUCUACCAGUCUCAGCUAUGGGAGGGAGAGUCAGGCAGAGGCCUAUCCAUUCGAUUCCUAGCUUGGGUAGUGGCUAGCGAGUGGAAGGCAAUCUGCUACAAGU